rnacentral:rRNA from 1 species
UACGUAGGGUGCAAGCGUUGUCCGGAAUUAUUGGGCGUAACGAGCUCGUAGGCGGUUCGUCACGUCGGCUGUGAAAUCCCGAGGCUCAACCUCGGGUCUGCAGUCGAUACGGGCGGACUUGAGUACUGCAGGGGAGACUGGAAUUCCUGGCGUAGCGGUGAAAUGCGCAGAUAUCAGGAGGAACACCGGUGGCUAAGGCGGGUCUCUGGGCAGUAACUGACGCUGAGGAGCGAAAGCGUGGGGAGCGAACAGG